GACGAACGCUGGCGGCGUGCCUAAUACAUGCAAGUCGUGCGGACCUUUUAAAAGCUUUCUUUUACAAGUUUAUCGGCGGUCGGGUGCUUAACACGUGGGCAACCUGCCUGUCAGACUGGGAUACCGCCGCGAAACCGUGUCUACUACCAGAUCGUUUUUUCCUCCUCAUUGAGUCAACAUUACAGGCGGCUUCUGCUGCCACUUACAGCUGCGCCCGCGGCGCAUGAGCUAGUUGGCGGGGUAACGGCCCACCAAGGCCACGCUGCGUAGCCGACCUGAGAGGGUGAACGGACAGAUGGGGAGUGAGAAACGGCAGAAACUCCUACGGGAGGCAGCAGUAGGGAAUCUUACGCAAUGGACGAAAGGCUGACGGAGGAAAGCCGCGGAAGGGAAGAAGGAGCACGGGUCGUAGAAUGAUGAAGGCGGGGAAGAAGAAGUGCCGUUUGAACAGGGAGGAGAAUGGAAGGUACCCGGGCAGAAAGCCACGGCAAACUACGU
rnacentral:rRNA from 1 species